rnacentral:rRNA from 1 species
UACGUAGGGUCCGAGCGUUGUCCGGAAUUACUGGGCGUAAAGAGCUCGUAGGUGGUUUGUCGCGUCUGCUGUGAAAACCUAAGGCUCAACCUUGGGCUUGCAGUGGGUACGGGCAGACUAGAGUGCGGUAGGGGUGACUGGAAUUCCUGGUGUAGCGGUGGAAUGCGCAGAUAUCAGGAGGAACACCGGUGGCGAAGGCGGCGUCCUGGACCAACACUGACGCUGAUGAGCGAAAGCCAGGGGAGCAAACGGG